UGGCCUCCCAGGAGGUCUAGUCCCAGCUUGUGUAACCUAAAGCCUUGAAUUUAGUUGUCACGUGUCCCAGCAAGGCAUUGGUGUCUCUCCAAGGGACUGUCAUCCCGCUGUCUCUAGGCAGCGAAAUAUGAAUUCGCAACCCCCCCUUCCAGCCGACAGACCUGUCAGGCACAUUAUUUCUGGUCCUUUUUUUAUAAACAGCUUUCAGUUCAGUUCAGUCGCUCAGUCGUGUCCGACUCUUUGCGACCCCAUGAACCGCAGCACGCCAGGCCUCCCUGUCCAUCACCAGCUCCCGGAGUCCACCCAAACCCAUGUCUAUCGAGUCGAUGAUGCCAUCCAACCAUCUCAUCCUCUGUCGUCCCCUCCUCCUCCUGCCCUCAGUCUUUCCCAGCAUCAGGGUCUUUUCCAAUGAGUCAGCUCUUCGCAUCAGGUGGCCAAAGUAUCGGAGUUUCAGCUUCAACAUCAGUCCUUCCAAUGAACACCCAGGACCGAUCUCUUUUAGGAUGGACUGGUUGGAUUAAGGCAAAACUGAGGACCUUGAAAUAUGUACGCCGUCAUGUGUGAAAUAGACAGCUAGUGGGAAGUUGCCCUGUACCCCAGGGAGCUCAACCUGGUGCUCCCUGAGGACCUGAAGGGGUGGUAUGAGAGUAUGGGGGUGGGAGAGAGGUUCAAGAAGGAAAGGAUAUAUGUAUACUUACGGCAAACACAACAUUGUAAAGCAAUUAUCUUCCAAUUAAAUGUUAAACAAACAAACAAAAAACACUGAAGACUUUAACCCAGGUUACAGCCUCUCAGCUCCGAAGAAGAAAUGGAGGAGCCAGGCUAUAUAGGGUUUUUGCAACAAAGACCGUGUAGUCAGAACUUUAAAAAAUUAACUGUUAAUUAAAGAAAAUCAGACAUCUCACGUCAA